UCGAGAAUCUUCCGCAAUGGACGCAAGUCUGACGGAGCGACGCCGCGUGUAGGACGAAGGCCCUUGGGUUGUAAACUACUGUCACGGGUUAUGAAUGCGUACGGGCGAACAGUCCGGGCGUUGACGUAAGCCCGAGAGGAAGCACCGGCUAACUCUGUGCCAGCAGGCGCGGUAACACAGAGGGAGCUAACGUUGUUCGGAAUUACUGGGCAUAAAGCGCACGUAGGCGGCCAGGUCAGUGUGAAGUGCAAUCCGACGGCUCACCGGAGGAAUUGCUUUGCAUACUGCUUGGCUAGAGGAAGGUAGGGGAGAGCAGAACUCCUGGAGGAGCGGUGAAAUGUGUAGAUAUCAGGAGGAAUACCAGUGGCGAAGGCGGCUCUCUGGUCCUUUUCUGACGCUGAGGUGCGAAAGCGAGGGUAGCGAACGGGAUUAGAUACCCCCGUAGUCC
rnacentral:rRNA from 1 species